GGGCGCUGUGCGAAGCUAGAAAUAACUGGGGGCAUGGAGAAUGCGGUGGCUGUAAAGGGCCGCUGAGGCGGUGGAGGCCUGGCAGAGAGCGUCCCCGCGGUCGCGGCUUCUGGCUUCUCUGUGGAGCUUGGUUCUUCCGUGGUGGUGCAGCACCCCAGGAACUUCAGGAACCAGUCCUUCCUUGGAGAGCUCCCCGGGACAGCCACGGGGGCCAAGUGAAACUAGCGCGUUUUCUUGGAUCCUACACUUUAUAUGUUUUCCUCCGUACCAUCUGACGUUUCUGGCGGUUCGUUGAACGCGAGAGAACGCUGAGCCGUCUGCACUGAGCCCGGGAGCAUCUUCAGGGCAGCGCCGCCCACGCGCGAGGUGAAUGAAGGACACGGCCUCUUGACACUCCCAGGCAGCACAGAUAGACGGAUCCAUCCCAGUUUCUGACCUGUAGCAUAGUCCCUCUCUCUGAAGAACUUCCUGUAAUAUUUUUUGCUAGGUGAGUCUGUUGGCAAUAAAUUCACUCAAUUUUUGUUUGUC
rnacentral:lncRNA from 1 species